AGGAUAAUAGUUAAAUAUAACAUUUAAUUUGCAUUUAAAAAGUAUCAAUUAUAGAUUUAUCUUA
rnacentral:tRNA from 1 species